UGGGGGGAUAUUGCGGCAAUGGGGGGCAACCCUGACGCAGCAACGCCGCGUGAAGGAAGAAGGUUUUCGGAUUGUAAACUUCUUUAAGUGUGGAAGAAAUUGACGGUACACACAGAAUAAGCCACGGCUAACUACGUGCCAGCAGCCGCGGUAAUACGUAGGUGGCGAGCGUUGUCCGGAUUUACUGGGUGUAAAGGGCGUGUAGGCGGGAUUACAAGUCAGAUGUGAAAUACCAGGGCUUAACUCCGGGGCUGCAUUUGAAACUGUAGUUCUUGAGUGCCGGAGAGGAAAGCGGAAUUCCUAGUGUAGCGGUGAAAUGCGUAGAUAUUAGGAGGAACACCAGUGGC
rnacentral:rRNA from 1 species